rnacentral:rRNA from 1 species
UACGGGGGGAGCAAGCGUUGUUCGGAUUUACUGGGCGUAAAGGGCGCGUAGGCGGCCACUGCAAGUCGGUUGUGAAAUCUCCGGGCUUAACUCGGAAAGGUCAAUCGAUACUGCAGGGCUAGAGUGCAGAAGGGGCAACUGGAAUUCUCGGUGUAGCGGUGAAAUGCGUAGAUAUCGAGAGGAACACCGGCGGCGAAGGCGGCCAACUGGACGAUCACUGACGCUGAGACACGAAAGCGUGGGGAGCAAACAGG